rnacentral:rRNA from 1 species
UACGUAGGGUGCGAGCGUUGUCCGGAAUUAUUGGGCGUAAAGAGCUCGUAGGCGGUCUGUCGCGUCGGUCGUGAAAACUUGGGGCUUAACCCUGAGCUUGCGGUCGAUACGGGCAUGACUGGAGUUCGGCAGGGGAGACUGGAAUUCCUGGUGUAGCGGUGAAAUGCGCAGAUAUCAGGAGGAACACCGGUGGCGAAGGCGGCUUCCUGGACCGACACUGACGCUGAGGCGCGAAAGCUAGGGGAGCAAACAGG